rnacentral:rRNA from 1 species
AGGGUUUGAUCAUGGCUCAGGACGAACGCUGGCGGCAUGCCUAACACAUGCAAGUCGAACGAGAAAGUUCCUUCGGGAGCAAUUAAAGUGGCGCACGGGUGAGUAACGCGUAGACAAUCUGCCCUUCAGUCUGGGACAACUUUUCGAAAGGAGAGCUAAUACCGGAUAACAAUACAUGACACAAGUUGUAUAUUUGAAAGCUUUAUGUGCUGAAGGAGGGGUCUGCGUCCCAUUAGCUAGUUGGUAAGGUAAAGGCUUACCAAGGCAACGAUGGGUAGCGGGUUUGAGAGGACGAUCCGCCACACUGGAACUGAGACACGGUCCAGACUCCUACGGGAGGCAGCAGUGGGGAAUAUUGCACAAUGGAGGAAACUCUGAUGCAGCAAUGUCGCGUGAGUGAAGAAGGCCCUUGGGUCGUAAAGCUCUUUUAUGGGGGAAGAUGAUGACGGUACCCCAAGAAUAAGCACCGGCUAACUAUGUGCCAGCAGCCGCGGUAAUACAUAGGGUGCGAGCGUUGUUCGGAAUUACUGGGCGUAAAGGGCGCGCAGGCGGAAUAGUAAGUCGGAGGUGAAAGCCCGGGGCUCAACCCCGGAGGGUCUUUCGAAACUACUAAUCUAGAGAGGGUCAGGGGCCGGCAGAAUUCCUGGUGUAGAGGUGAAAUUC